rnacentral:lncRNA from 1 species
UAGAAUUUUCCUAGAAGAUAUAUUGAAAGGGAAGUCAGUGGAAAGGAGAUUUCGACUCACCAGUCGCUGGGCCACAGGUCUGCCACUGCCUGUUUUGGAUGGCAAUAAGAUUAUUGAUGGGCUGCUUAAACGCUGCUUAUGAGUUAUGGGUAACAUGAAAAUUUCAACCAGAAGGUGGUCUGCUAAUCUCGUUUUCUUGCUUAUUUCUUCAGGUUUUCACUUGCAAUUUGUUGAUGCAUUUACAGAUACAAUCUUACAAGGUCAAUCACUCAUAACCUCUCAGACCAUCAUAUCUGCUGGUGGUAACUUUGAAUUAGGAUUCUUUUCUCCUGGAAAGUCCACAAAAUAUUAUGUGGGGAUAUGGUACAAGAAAAUCUCAGAGCAAACCAUUGUGUGGGUAGCUAACCGAGACUAUCCAUUCACAAAUCCGUCCGUGGUUCUUACUGUCAGCACAGAUGGCAACCUCGAGAUUUUGGAGGGGAAGUUUUCGUACAAGGUGACAAGCAUAUCAUCAAGCAGCAACACUAGUGCCACCCUGUUGGAUUCUGGAAAUCUUGUUUUGAGAAAUAAGAGGUCAGAUGUCUUAUGGGAGAGCUUUGACUAUCCAUCGGACACGCUCCUGCCCGGAAUGAAACUUGGAUAUGACAAAAGGGCUGGAAAAACAUGGUCAAUGGUGUCAUGGAAGAGCGCAGAAGAUCCCAGUCCAGGAGAUUUCUCCGUGCAGGUCGACCCUAAUGGAACUAGCCAGUUUUUUAGCCAGCAAGGACCCAACAGGUAUUGGACUAGUGGGGUGUGGGAUGGGCAGAUUUUCGGCCAGGUUCCUGAGAUGCGUUUCUUCUAUAUGUAUAAGUACAAUACAUCCUUUAAUGAGAAUGAAAGCUAUUUUACUUACUCUCUUAAUAAUCCCUCCAUUCUGAGCAGAGUGGUGCUAGAUGUGUCGGGCCAGAUUAGGCAUCUGAAUUGUCAAGAAGGCACACAUGAAUGGGAUUUAUCUUGGCUUCAUCCAAGAACACAGUGUGAGGUUUAUGUCUAUUGUGGGCCUUUCGGAAUCUGCACUGGGGAUUCUGUUGAAUUUUGUGAAUGCUUGCCAGGUUUUGAACCUCGCUUCCUUGAAGACUGGAAUCUGCAAGACAGAUCUGGAGGGUGUGUGAGGAAAGCAGAUUUGGAGUGUGUCAAUGAAAGCCAUGCUAAUGGGGAGCGAGACCAGUUUCUUUUGGUGUCUAACGUGAGACUGCCCAAGUAUCCAGUAACAAUACAAGCAAGGAGUGCUAUGGAGUGCGAAUCAAUUUGCCUGAAUAGCUGCCCUUGCUCCGCUUAUGCUUAUGAGGGAGAUGAGUGUAGAAUAUGGGGUGGAGAUCUUGUAAACGUGGAGCAGCUACCAGAUGGUGACAGUAAUGCUAGAAGUUUCUAUAUCAAACUUGCUGCCUCUGAGCUAAAUAAGAGAGGUAAGAAAAAAGAGUCAUAGUUGUUAUUGUAGGAGGACAUAAAGCAUCUGGGUCUUGUUUUGUUUUCAAAAUAAAAUGGCCAUCGAUUCAGCUAAAUUUAAUAUGAUAUAUUUCCUUCUACAGUUUCAAGCAGCAAGUGGAAGGUAUGGUUAAUUGUUACACUGGCCGUAUCUUUAACUUCAGUCUUUGUCAAUUAUGGGAUAUGGCGAAGGUUCCGAAGAAAAGGUCAGUAUUUCUCAUGGACAGAAGGAUAGCCAAGCAGUUCAACAGUUUUUAGGUUUCAUCUGCAAAUACAAAACCAGUUCUUUUUUUAAAUGAGUUCAUUACCACUGUUAUUGAAUAAUUGAGGUAACAUUAGGAUUUCAAUGUUCUGAUUACAUGUGAGUGUGUAUGUGGAAUCCAAUGUGAGAAAUAAUUUAUUCCCGUGCCAGAAUUCCUACAUUCUUAUGAUAUUUAAUGUCUGUUUGUUCUUUACCAAGCAGGGGAAGAUUUGUUAGUAUUUGAUUUCGGUAACAGCUCAGAAGAUACCAGCUAUGAGCUUGGCGAGACAAAUAGACUUUGGAGGGGUGAGAAGAAGGAAGUUGAUUUGCCCAGGUUCAGUUUUGCGAGUGCAUCUGCUUCUACAAAUAACUUCUCUAUUGAAAAUAAACUAGGAGAGGGCGGUUUUGGAUCUGUUUACAAGGUGAGAUUACAACCCCUGACAAUAAUGUUCUACAAUCUGUCCUGGAAUGUAAAGGCCCACUUGAUAUACAUCAAAUUUUUUUUACCUGGUGUAAUUGUAGUCACUUGAAAUUCUCAUGACAGGGAAAGUCACAAAGAGGAUAUGAGGUAGCUGUGAAAAGGCUCUCAAAAAGAUCUAAACAGGGAUGGGAGGAGUUAAAAAAUGAAGUCAUGCUUAUAGCCAAGCUGCAACACAAGAAUCUUGUGAGAGUUUUGGGAUACUGCACCGAGCGGGAUGAGAAGAUAUUGAUUUAUGAGUAUAUGUCCAACAAAAGCUUGGAUUUCUUCCUCUUUGGUUUGUAACUUCCACAUACAUAUACUUCCAGCUACUGUACAUUCAAUGAGAAAACUUUACACAUUCAUCAUUCUUCACCACUUAUUUGCUAACAUCUAUUUAUUUGGUGUAAAAUGGAGGUAGAUCCUACAAAACAUGGGAUUCUGAAUUGGAAGACACGGGUUCACAUCAUUGAAGGGGUUGCUCAGGGACUUCUUUAUCUGCAUCAGUACUCCAGAUUGAGGAUUAUUCAUCGAGAUUUGAAGGCUAGCAACAUUCUUCUGGAUAAGGAUAUGAAUCCUAAAAUAUCAGAUUUUGGAAUGGCAAGAAUAUUUGGAGGCAAUGAAUCAAAAGCAACAAAUCAUAUAGUUGGGACUUAGUAAGUGAAACCUGACAAAUUAUAAAAUAUGUGAAUGUUCAUACAACAUUUGAAAUCAUGCAGCUACUGAAUGAUUUUUCUCAUUAAUAAUCAAAUCCAGCGGCUAUAUGUCCCCUGAGUAUGCUUUGGAAGGUCUUUUCUCCACUAAAUCUGAUGUCUUUAGCUUUGGGGUCUUGUUAUUGGAGAUUUUGAGUGGCAAGAAGAAUACUGGAUUUUACCAAACCGACUCGCUCAAUCUUCUUGGAUAUGUGAGUAACACAAUAUUUAUUCACUUACAUAACUAUUUAUGAUGUUUUGAUAUGCUAAUUCCUAGUUUUCAAUUCCCUUGUUAUAUUACCUAUCCGGUUGUCUUGGGAUACUAGUAAAUUUUCACAUUAUGUCUACCACUCAGUUUCAAGGCUUAUUUUAUAUUGUUGGCUGAUAUAUAAAGGACUUUAUUAUCUUUUACUUUUCGGGAAUUUGCAUCAAUGGAUAAUUUUCUUCAUUUAGGUAUGGGAUCUGUGGAAAGAUAGCAGGGGGCAGGAGUUGAUGGAUCCAGGAUUGGAAGAGACAUUGCCAACACACAUUCUGUUGAGGUACAUCAAUGUAGGCCUUCUUUGUGUUCAAGAAAGUGCAGAUGACAGGCCUACCAUGUCUGAUGUUGUCUCAAUGCUUGGCAAUGAAAGUGUACGUUUACCUUCUCCAAAACAACCGGCAUUUUCAAAUCUGAGAAGUGGGGUGGAACCACAUAUAUCCCAAAACAGGCCUGAAGUUUGUUCCUUAAAUGGUGUGACACUUUCAGUUAUGGAAGCACGAUAGUGGUUCUGAACUUAAUUAAUAAUAUGCUUAAAUUUGAGCAUAUUGUCUUGUAUUGUUCUUGGUGAAUUCAUAGCUCAUAUACUAAAAUGGACAAGUGACCUUAUGUGUGUAUUUUUCUUCCAAAACAGUUUAAUAAUCAUCUUGUACUCAAUCCCCCUAUGGAUUCAGACCUGUGUCUUAGCUUCCUAUUUGAAAUUGCUACUAAAUCUGACUUUAUCUGGUCAAAUUUGGAUUUAGUUUGAAAAUGAUCUGUUCCAUUGUCGAUCCAAAGAGUAAAAUACAACUUUUUUCAUUGCUAAUUAGUAGCUAACAAAAGGUGCCUCUAGGGCCAAUCCAGCUAUAGAGAAUCAACCACCCACCUUCCACUUCCUCUCUUAUGGAUGUUUUUGAAUGCCUUGGCAUAUGUAUAUCAUGUACAUAUACACCACCAAUUUGGCCUGGGAUCAGUUUCAUCAAGUAUUUCAGGAGACAACAUAAAACAAGUCAAAAAGUAUAUAAUUACGAACUAAUUGGCCAUCCAGCACAGAAAAUCCAUCUCCCAAUGGGGCCUUAAAGCACUUGAAUUUACUGUUCUUUCCAUCAUUAUUUUCAUUCUGGGCAUGGCCUAGAUUGAAGAAAGGUCCGACACAAAUUGGAAAAGUCAUAGAAGGAAAUAUAUCUAGAAGGGAAUCCUAACAAAAGGUCUUUCAAAACUGCUACACCUUGCUUUGAAUGGUACCUGGUAUCUACAUUGAAUGAGUGUUUUUCCUAUGUCCCACCAUUAAAAUGAAUGGGAGUCUUGCAAAUUACAUAGAUUUUUUUUUUAUAAUGUAUUAUUUUAUAAAUUUCAUAGAAUUAUUAAUUUAGUAUUUUAGCCCCAAAGUCCCUAAAAAACAUUAUUUGCUUGAGGGGUUCAUAUUAUCAUGCAUUAAUUUAUUGAAAUUCUACUAUUUUUUCCUUAAUUAAAAAGUGAAUUUUUUAUUUUAUUAUUUUAUUUUUCUUUAACAAAAAAAGUCACUUUUUCUCUUUUUUCUUUGAAGUCCUCUAACUUCAUAACACUCGAACUCAUUUUCUCAUACAAAAUAAAAUUAAUCAAAUUCAAAUUUGAAACAUUGAAAAUUAAUCAAUAACAUAAAAAUCAAUUUAUAUAAUCAAAAACCUUAAUUAUUAUCAAAUUACUAACUUUCUAACUAUUUACAUGAUUAAUCAUUAUAAGAUUUUUAUUAUGACAAUAGAUUUUGGUACUGAUGAUCUACAACCCUGAUCUGUAGACACACAAGUCCCUGUCAUCAAACCCUGAUCUAGAACAGUAUUUGACAUCAUGGAAAUGCACUGAUGAUCCAUCCACUAGAAACUUCACUUGGAGAUUAGAUAUUCCCAGGCUGCCUCAACUGGCUGUUGGAAUGGGAUCAGUCAAAAAGUACCGCACAGGGCCAUGGAAUGGAGUUUGAUUUAAUGGUUUACCAGUGUUUCCCAAUGAGGAGGUCUAUUUACCAUUAAUGAUUUUUAAUGAGGAGAAUGUAUAUUACUUGCCUCAGGCUGGCAACUACUCUGCUAAUCUGAGAGUCACCAUCAAUCAUUUAGGCUUGCUGCAAUGGAAUAUAUUGAAUGAAAGCAAUGAUGAGUGAACUACUAUGUACACUGUACCAUAUGACCUAUGUGACAACUAUGGACAGUGUGGUAUGCUCUAUGUGACAACUAUGGACAGUGUGGUGCUAAUGGCAUUUGCAGGCUUUCCAGCAUGCCAGUCUGUGAGUGUUUGAAGGGGUUCACCCCCAACUCAAAAGGAGAAUGGGAAAUGUUUGAUUGGUCUAGUGGAUGUGAAAGGGCAGGACCUUGGAUUGCAAGAGCAAAGAUGACCUUAUGAAGGUCUUAGGGAUGAAAUUGCCUGACUUGUUGGAGUUUCGGUUGAACAAGAGCAUGAGCCUCAAGGAAUGUGAGGUAGAGUGCUUGAAGAACUGCUCCUGUGUGGCAUUUGCGAAUUCAAACAUUAAAGGUGGAAGCAGUGGAUGUUUGACCUGGUAUGGAGAUCUGAUUGAUAUUAAAGGGUUCACAGAUGGGAAAAGUGGGCAAGACCUUUAUAUCAGAUGUCCAGCUGGGGAACUAGGUAAGAGUAUUUGACACUCUUUUCACUUCCAAGCUCUUUUAUUGUUCAUCCAUGAAGGUUUAACAUGCAUUGCAAUCCGGAUUGCAUGGUUGAUUAUUUUCUCUAGGUGAGUUAGGAUCUUUUUCAUUUUUGGGAUAUGAAAGAAAGUUAGGAUUGUUUGUCAUAUAUCCUCAGUAAUGGUUUCUAUCUUUUAACUAAAGGCACAGAAACAAUUGAUGGCCAACUCUCUCUGCAGUAAGGUGCAGACAAAACUGAAGCGAGGAUUUGAUAACAAAAGUUUUUAGCAAAAUGAUUAAAUUUCUUCCCAUCUCCUGCUUCAGGGUCAAUCCAUGGUUCAAAUAAGAAGAAAUAACUGGUUGCUGUCCUAGUUGCAUCGACCAUUUCUGGAAUGCUAAUCUUGGGCUUGGUGUUCUGGUGCAUAAAAAGGAAAAAAAAAAAAGAGGUAAUCCUAAUUAUUGGUCCAUUCAUUGUUUCAACUUUCAUCAUUGAAAAUCUAUAUCAUACAACUGGAUCCUGAGUACAGUAAUGAAGUAGGCACUAUCUCAUCAAUAGGCCUGGAAAGUGAGAUGGAAGAUUUAGAGUUACCUUUGUUUGAAUUGGCUACCAUUAAUACUGCUACUAACAACUUCUGUGUCAUAAAUAGAACUGGCACAGGCAGCUUUGGUCCUGUUUUCAAGGUAACAUUUGAUUGUAAGAAAAAGUGUGUUUCCUAUGAGACAAUAUGCAGGGCAGUUUGUCAAUAGGACAAGAAGUAGCAGUGAAGAGGUUGUCAAAGAAUUCAGGACAGGGUCUUCAAGAGUUUAAGAAUGAGAUCUUUUUAAUUGCCAAACUCCAACGCAAGAAUCUUGUAAAGCUUUUAGGCUGCUGCAUUCAGGGACAAGAAAGGAUAUUACUCUAUGAAUAUAUGCCCAACAAGAGUUUGGAUUAUUUUAGUUCCGUUUGAAAUUCUCAACCCUUUAGAUCUCUUUGGACUGGUUUGGGUACAUGAUCAUCCAUACCAUGCUCAUGCAUCUAUAGAGUACAAAUAGUUAUAAUCGCAAAAUUUACAAGGGUUGAAAUGAUGUGCAGAUCAAAACAGAAGAGCGUUAUUGCCAUGGAAAAAGCGCUUUGACAUUGUUAUGGGGAUCGUGCAAGGACUUGUUUAUCUCCACCAAGAUUCUAGACUUCAAAUCAUUCAUAGGGAUCUCAAGGCAAGCAAUAUACUGACAGAUGAAAACCAGAACCCCAAAAUUUCAGACUGGCUUGGCAAUAAUUUUUGGAGGGGGAUGAAAUGGAAGCAAAAACAGAGUGAUUGGAACAUAGUAAGUUCUGUACUUCGACUUUAGAAAUGAUGUGCUUUUCCUUGAAAUAACUUAUAUUUGAAAUCUUCAUGCAGUGACUGCACGUCCCCAGAGUAAGUGAUUGAUUGCAAAUUUUCUGUUAAAUUUGAUAUCUUUAGUUUUGGUGUGCUUCUGCUGGAGAUUGUGGCUGGUAUAAAGAACAGGGGGUUCUAUCAUUCAAACUACCACCAUAAUCUUCUGGGACAUGCAAGUAGAAAGAAAGAAAAUCCACCUCUGUCACACACACACAUCAAAGACGCAUGCCCUCUCUUGCUUUUCUGACAAAGUAUAUGGCUUCCAAUUGCUUUAGACAUGGUUGCUUUGGAAACAAGACAAGGCCUUGGAUGUAAUGGCUGCAUGUUUGGAGGACUCAUGUAUUGAAUCCCAGCUACUAAGAUGCAUACAAGUCGGUUUAUUAUGUGUUGAAAACCUCCCAGCAGAUAGACCAGCUAUGUCAUCUGUGAUUUUCACGUUGGGUACUGAGGGAGCAACACUACCUUAACCUAAACAUCCUGCUUUCUUCACAGAAAUAAGUACGAUUGAUACAGAUGCAACAACAGGACGUGAAGAGUUACCUUCAGAAAAUGUAGUAACCAUCUCAGUGCCAGAAGGUAGAUAAAGGAUUCAAGCACUGUGUCAACAUGUGCAGGGUGCAUCCAAGGUUUUAUUCAUGUAGGAUAUAGCACUAGGCUCUUCAAUGGAUGGGCACCAAUUUCCUUAAGGUUGCAAAACUAGAUACAGCUUGGCCCCAAGGAGGCCAAGGUAUUGGAUUUACUGCACUAGAACCAUAUCUGCUGGGCUUCAUAAUCCUCUAAAUGUAUGAAUAAAAUGUGCUGGAGUGUGUCCUCUAUGGCAGCUCAGGGCAGUGUGAUUUGUAACUUAAAACUCACUAGUACAACUUUUGAAAUUCAUAUUUUCACAGGAUCAAGUUGGGUAUAUGCACAAGAAUGUGGAUUCUGCAGUCAACUUGGCUGCUUCACUUUCUUUUCCUCAGAGUUCACAUUUAUAGGGCUUAUAUAGAUGCUGAGCUAUACAAAAAUCUUGAUUUGAAAUCUCAAGAAUUUCUAGAGGUGUUCAAAAUCCUUUGAAAUGUCCUUGGGAAGUGCAAUGAGCUUGCAACAAAUUGGAGUGAAUGGAGAUAAACAAAUUGAAAAUCAAAUGAGAGGAUUUGAAGCUUAAACAAAUAAACACCUUCACAGAAUAAGGUGUGAAUCUCUACUGUCUCUCUCAAGUUAGACAUCUUUUAACUUCUUUUCAUCUUCCCAGAAGCUUCAAAAUUUUUUGCAAAACAUUAACUUGAAUACUAUACAGUGGCAAACCUUAGUGGGAGCUUUCAAAUUAUUUAGGAGAAAGAAUUCAAGAACUAUGUAACAGAUGAUUCACAUAGAUUCUUUCCUUAGGACUAACAUGGAAAGAAUUCAGGUAAAUAGAGAUGAAUGUUUAUCAAAUUAACAGAGACAAACCUGCCAAGCAACCAUUGAGAUGCUGCAAGCUCAAUUCAGAUCGUUUGAUCUUGCAAUAUUUUUUUCCAAUUAAUUGAGGGGGCAUAAGAGAAGACACUGAUUUUACAUCUUAGUAACUUGUUUUUCAUUGGAAUUGGAAAUUUCCAAGUUACCCUGUUUAGACAGUUCUUCCAAUUGAAAUGAUUGAGCCCUUAAACUUGCAUAGCACGGUACUCUGUUAAGAUUCUGGAGUCUUUGAAGACUGCAACCUGAUCCACUUGAUGCUGUGUCAUGGUUCAAUUAACUAGCUAGUCAUGCUUGAGAGGACCUGUCUGACAAACACCAGGAAAAAUCUACAUUAGCAACUAUUUUAUUUUAAUUUUCUUCCUAUGUCUAUAAGUAGAUAGCAUAGAGUGAUUUGUGGUAUAUCCUCUAUGGCAUCAUGUUUUUCCAUAAACACAUUGAUGAUGAAUAAGCUUUCAUAAAUUAGAUAGGGCAUGAGCUCUCCAUGUGGCACUAUUUUUUUUUUGUGGAAAAUAAUUUAGUAUUUUAAGUUUACUACAACCCAUAAAACUUUCCCUUCAUUUGGAAAAAACGAAUCUGAAGCUACCCAGAAGCUGACCUGAAAAGACAUGUCUUAAUUGUUCUUUUAAUUAUUAAUUUUAUUGUGGGCAUGGCCUAGGUUGAGAAAGGUCCAAUAAGGCUUAGAAAAGUCAUGGAAAGAGAUAUAUAUAUAGAAGUGAUAGGUCAAGUUCAUUCAUCCGCAUGAAAAGGACCAGGGUCGACUUCUUAAUGGUUCGUACUUACUAACGUAGAAAUUAGGGAAGAAAUCGCGGCAGGUGCUGCUACCUAGGGAAGGUAACACCAUUGCACUUGACUAUGAUCCUCUACCUCAUGUUCAUGUGAUGAUUAUGACGUAGGUGACAACUGUUUUAUCAGAUUGGAAGUAUAGAAUUCCAAGAAUAUUGAAGACAAAUCAAGCGCAAAUGAAGGCGAAGAUUAACAGAUGGAUUAUUACUCACAAAGGAAACUAAGGGUGAAUCUUCCCAGACAACGAUACAGAAAUGAGUGAUGGGUGCUGCAGUCCCUGUUUCAAGGCUGCUGUAUCGCCUACAGUUAAUCAAUCUCUACAAAAAGUGAUUAAAAAGUUAAUUUUUUUAACAAAAAAAAAAAAGUCCCUUUUUCUCUUUUUUCUUUGAGGUCUUAACUCUAUAACACUCGAUCUAGUUAAAACUAACAUGGAAAGAAUCCAGGUAAAUAGAGAUAGAUGUUUAUCAAAUUAAUAGAGACAAUCCAGACAUCAAGAUUGGCAUGCCAAGCAACCAUCGAGAUGCUACCUUCCAGGCCCUAUAACACAAACUCAUUUCAGAUAGUAUGAUCUUCUGACAUUUUUUUAAACAAAAUUCAAUUAGGGAACAUUUGGGAGGACUCUACAAUUUUACAUUUCAGUAACUUGAUUUUCAUUGGAAUUGGAAAAUUCAUAGUCACCCUGUUGAGGCAGUUCUUCCAAUUCUAAUGCUUGAGCCCUUAAACCUACAUAACACGGUACUCUGUUGGACUAAGACUGAAAGCCUGGCCAAGUCAAAAACUGCAGCGUUGUCCUCUUGAUGCUGUGUCUUGGACAAAUUCCAGGAAAAACCUACAUCAGAGAAAUUUUAGUAUUUUUUUAAACUAGUGUAUAGAAGUCUUCCUUCCAUCUGUGAGAAACGUCAAUGGAGACCCAUCUUUUCUUCGCCAUCUUUUGUGCUUGGAUUUGUCUCUCAGUUCCCUUGGAGUUCUGUAUUGCAGCUGAUUCCAUAAGGAUGGACCAAUCCAUAAGCCAUGGUGAGACUUUAGUUUCCUCAGGCCAAAGUUUUGAACUAGGCUUCUUCUCUCCUGGAAGCUCCAAAAACAGGUACUUGGGAAUAUGGUACAAGAAUACACCCCAGACAGUUGUAUGGGUUGCAAACAGAAACAACCCAAUUGCAGAUUCUUACGGAGUUUUAACCAUCAUCAACAAUGGCGCACUUGUUCUUCUCAACCAGUCAAAGAGUGUAAUCUGGUCUCCCAAUUUGUCAAGGGUACCUGAAAAUCCAGUUGCACGGCUCCUAGAGACUGGAAAUCUUGUUCUCAGGGACAGUAGUAAUGAAAGUUCUGAAAGCUAUAUAUGGCAGAGCUUUGAUGAUCCAUCAGACACAAUGUUGCCACGCAUGAAGGUGGGAUGGAACUUAAAGACUGGUCUACAACAAAAAUUGACAUCAUGGAGAAGUGCUGAUGACCCAUCCCUUGGAGACUUCUCUUACAGAAUUGAUAUUAAUGUGCUGCCUUACGUGGUUCUUGGUGUGGGAUCAAGCAAAAAAGUCCGUUCCGGGCCGUGGAAUGGACUUGAAUUCAAUGGUGUUCUUGUGUUGGACUACUUGGUUUACAAAGCAGUUUUUGUUAACAACGACGAUGAGGUAUAUACCCUCUGUGAGUCUAACAACAAUAAGAUCAUUUCAAGACUAACAUUGAACCAUUCAGGUUUCCUCCAGAGUCUGGUAUCAAAAAAAGGAAGCUCUGACUGGGAUGAUUUGUACUCAAUUCCCAGUGAACUUUGUGUAAAUUAUGGCCAUUGUGGUGCUAAUGGUAUCUGCAGAAUUGGCAAGGCGCGGAUUUGUGAGUGUUUGCCAGGUUUCACACCAAAUUCACAAAAAGAAUGGGACAUGUUUAAUACAUCAAGUGGAUGCAUCGAAGAAGGCCUUUGGAUUGCCAAAGUGAAGAGGGAUUUGUAAAGGUUACAGGGGUGAAAUUGCCCGACUUGAUAGAUUCUCAUGUGAUUAAUAGUGUGAGCCUUAGGGAGUGUGAGGUGUCAUGCUUGAACGACUGUUCUUGUACAGCAUAUGCCUACUCAAAUGCAUAUGCUUACUCAAAUCCUAAUGGAAACGGUGGCUGUUUGAUGUGGUCUGGGGACCUGAUUGAUAUCAGAGAGUUAACUUCAGAAAAACAUGCGGAGGACAUCUAUAUCCGCAUGCACACUUCAGAGCUAGGUAAGACACUUGAUUUUCUGUAAAUCACGUUUUGAUUGUAAGCUAUUGGGGUUGUCUCCAAUAGCCUAAGCCCUAAGUUUUCCUGGUAAAUCAAGAUGCAGAAUUACUUAUUUUCCAAAAUCAGAGAUUCAAUUUGACAAGAAGAUUAUAAUCUAGUUAAAACUAAGACCCUAUAUUAUAUUCCAGAAGAACCAUAGCUGUUAGGAUUCAGGUUAACUAAUGAUGAACUGACUUGUAAUAAUCCUAACAAGCAGAAAGCAAAUAUCCAAUUCAUUUUCUGAAGAAACAGGGAAAUCCGGGGAAAUGGUUACUUCAUUCUUGUUACUGUCUGUUCCAGGGUUAAACACUUAUCAGAAGAAAAAACUAGUGAUCAUCCUUGUUAUAUCUACCUUUUCUGGAAUCCUCACCUUGGGCUUAGCAGUCUGGUUUCUAUUUCAGAAGAAGAGAACAAUGGGAGCAGGUAUGCAUACUUAUCCACCUUGAUGAUUUUAUUGAAAGAAAACCACGUGGUUGUGCUUUAAAAGUAGCUUCUAAAUUAUUAUCCCUUUUAACAGACCAGGAAAGCAAGGAGAACUUAGAGUUACCUUUGUUUGACUUGCCUACCAUUGCAACUGCUACUAACAACUUCUCCAACACCAAUAUGAUUGGAGCAGGUGGCUUUGGGUAUGUGUACAAGGUAAUAUACGCCAUCUUAUGCAUCAGGAUAACCCAAAAAUGAUUUCAAAAGAAAGAAGUGUUAGCUUUUUUCCUAUAAUGUGUGGCCAUAUAUAAUUAUAUUUAUAUAAAUAUUAUUUAAGGCUAUCAAUUGAUAGGUAGGUGAAUCAAUUAAUUGGGCAUCCAAGAGUUUUAUGUAUGGAAGACUCAAAUUACAAAUGGGGAGUUAGAAAAUUUACUUUAUAUGAAUAUGGUGUCACAACUUUUGUAACCCCAUCAUUAUGAAAUUCAUUUUGUACAUUAUGUUUGAGUAAUAGAGGAAAAUGAAAAUGUAUAACUUAUGCAAUUAUAUAGAUGCAUUCAAGUUCAUAACCCACCAUUACCUAUUAAUUUGUACAUAAUGGGUGUAAAUAAUGAGUAUAACUCCCAUAUAGUCUUUGAUGGGAAGACUAAGAGAUGUACAACUUUUUAUAAAUUGAGGUCCCAAGUCACACUCUCAUUCUUAUGUCAUUUUUGUUGUUUAUUUUUAACAACAUACACCACACAAGUGACCCAUCCAUUAUAUGAGAGUAGUGAGUUGAAGAUCUUGAAAAUACAAUUCACAAGGUGACUCAAUCUCACUUCAUGGAUCAAGGUAAGAAUAUGAUCAUUAUUUUAGUAUUUACAUUUAUUUUGUUUUAUGCAUCAAAAUUUUUUUUUAAAAAUAAUUAUUUUCGUAUAAAGUUUAUAAAAGUUUGGUUAAUAAUUGGUAUCAGAGCCAACCAAUUUUGGAUCAUAAAACAUAUUUUUUCAUUUUUUGAUUAUUGUUUGAUCUUAUGGACAACUAAAAUAUAUAUGAUGUGAUGCAUAUGAAUGAUGUAGUAACACACAUUUUCAAUGUUUCAUGAUUUCAAUCAUAUCUAUUGCAUGAUUUUAUGAAAGUUGCAAAAAUAUGAUUAGUAAUUUAAAUGUGUGAUUAUGGAAAUCUCAAGAAAUAGCUUUUCUAGUAUGCAUGUUUAUUUACUUGUUUGUUUGAAGAUGAUCAUAUAUAUAUGUGUGAUCAACCUAACGAAGGAUCAUCACCAUGUUUGAUUAUAUGACAAGAGUUUAAUAAUAAAAGGUUGAUGAAGUUUUUACCCAACGGUAUUAAACUUCUUUACGUUUCAAUACUUUUAUUUUAAUAAUUAUGUCAUAUCUAUAUGAUUUAUGAAUUAUUAUAAUUCAACCCAAUGGAGGGAUUAUAAUAAUGUACUUUUGUGUUAUAUGAUUGUAGUUCGGUCCAACGAAAGAACGAUGAUAUGAUCUCUAAUGUUUAUGAUUAAUGUGAUAUCUAACUUAAUUUUUGUUGUAGUUAUAUAUUAUUGUAAAGUGUGGUGUUAAAUAUUGUCAUGACAUAAAAUAAUUUUCCUUUUUGAAUUAAAUUUUAUUUUCCAGCAAUGAAUCCUACUGCUAUUACAGGCUAUUUGUCUGGUAUUGAAUGAUUAAGUGGGGCAAAUUUUAAAAAAUGGAAGGAACAAAUUGGAAUUGUUCUUGGUUGCAUGGAUUUGGACUAUGCCUUAAGAGAGCCUACACCCACAAAGCCUACUUCUGAAAGUACUAAUGAACAAAAGGCUUUAUAUGAAAAGUGGGAGCGCUCUAAUCGCAUGAGUCUAAUGAUUAUGAAAGGUUCAAUCACUCCUGCAAUUCAUGGAGCAAUCCCGAAUUCAGAUAAUGCAAUGACCUAUAUUAAAUAAGUUGAAGAACAAUUCUUAGGAACUUCCAAGUCAUUGGCAAGUACUCUUAUGAUCAAAAUGAUAACAAUGAAAUAUGAUGGUCAUAGUGGUGUACGUGAGCACAUCAUGAAGAUGAGUGAUAUGGCUUCUCAAUUAAAAGGAAUGAACAUGACAAUUUUUGAAGGUUUUCUUGUUCACUUCAUAAUGACUUCCCGUCCUUCACAAUUUGGUCCUUUCAAAAUUAAUUAUAAUACUCAGAAGGAUAAGUGGAAAAUGAGUGAACUAAUUGCAAUGUGUGUUUAAGAAAAAGAGAGGCUUAAAGUGGAAAAGCCCGAUAUGGCUCACCUCACUAUUGGUCCAAAUAAAAAAUCCUUCAAGAAAGGUAAAGGUAAGAAAAAGAAGCAAGGUAAUGAUGUAUCUCAUAAUGGGAAAAAGGACGAAAAUAAGAUACAAUGUCAUUUUUGCCAUAAGAAAGGUCACAAAAAAAUAUAUUGUUUUGGCUUUAAGGCUUGGUUGGAAAAGAAAGGUAAAACUCAAUGCUUAGUGUCUUAUGAAUCUUAUUUAGUUGAUAUACCACCAAACUCUUGGUGGAUUGACACUGGUGCAAGCAUUCACAUAACAAAUUCAUUGUAGGGAUACCUUAUAAGCAAGAGACUAAGUAAAGGAGAGCGAACCAUUACUUUGGGAAAUGGAACGAAAGUGGAAAUUGAGGCUAUUGGCAUUCUUCGUUUAAUUUUGGAUAUUGGUUUCAUUAUGGAUUUAGUAGAUACAGUUUAUGUUCCUGUUUUUACUAGAAACCUAAUUUCAGUUCCAAGACUUGAUUCUUAUGGUUAUGAAUUAAAGUUUGGAAAUAAUGGAGUUUCCUUGUUCUAUAAUUCUUGUUUGGUUUGCUCUGGCACUUUACAUGGUAAUCUUUAUUCAUUGAAUUUAGAUUGCAAAUAUUCAUAGUCUCUUUUAUCUUAUCAUGUGUAUGAAGUCUCUAAAAAAUGAAAUCGAGUGAAUGAAAAUUCAUCCAUAUUAUGGCAUAAGCGACUGGGUCACAUUUCAAGAGAAAGGAUGGAACGUCUUAUUAAAGAUGAAAUUUUGACUUCACUUAAUUUUUCUAAUUUUACUAGUUGUGUUGAAUGCAUAAAGGGAAAGAUACACUAAGGUUAAGAAAAAGGGUGCCUCAAGGGCCACUGAAUUGUUAGAAUGUAUUCAUUCUGACAUUUGGGGACCUUAUUCAAUUCCAACUAUCAAUGGACAUAAGUACUUUAUUAGUUUUAUUGAUGACUUUUCAAGGUAUUCUUAUGUGUAUCUUAUUCGUGAAAAAUAUGAAGCAUUAGAUGUUUUUAAGAUUUAUAAAGUUGUGGUUGAAAAUCAACUCAAUCGGUGAAUUAAAAGUGUAAGAUCUGAUAGAGGUAGUGAAUAUUAUGGUAGGUUCACUGAAUCAGGUCAACUUCUUAGUACUUUUGCCUUAUUUUUAAGAGAGCAUGGUAUCAUUGCAAACUACACAAUGUCUGGAACACCAGAGCAAAAUGGUGUAGUAGAGCGACGGAAUCGUACUCUAAUUGACAUGGUGAGAAGUAUGAUGAGUAACUCAACCUUGCCUGAAUUUUUGUGGGGUGAAGCAUUGAAAACUACUGUUCACAUUCUCAAUCAUGUUACUAGUAAGGUUGUACCCAAAACUCCUUAUGAGUUAUGGGUGGGUAGGAAACCGACUUUGAAUUAUUUACAUGUAUGGGGAUGUCCAGCUGAAGCUAAAUUUUUUAACCCACAAAUAAAGAAAUUAGAUUCUAAAACCAUAAGUUGCAAUUUCAUUGCCUAUCCUGAAAUAUCGAAAUGUUUUAGAUUUUAUUAUCAUGGCCAGGGCCCUAAAAUUGUUGAAACUAGACAUGCUGCGUUUUUGGAAAAUGAAUAUUUUAAUGGGAGAACUGAGCUUAAAAAGUUAACCUCUAAUGAAGUAUCAACACCAAUGAUGGAAUAUGGUGUGACUCAAGAGGUUUCUAGUAAUGAAAAUGAGAAUGUCCCAACUACAGAAGUAUUUUUACGUAGAUCACAAAGAGAGAAAAUACAUGCUAUAUCAAAUGACUACGAAGUUUAUCUUAAUGAGUGUGAUUAUGAUGUUGGCUUGGAAAGUGAUCCUACUUCUUAUGAUCAAGCCAUCAAUAGUGAAAAUUCAACUCUAUGGCUUUAUGCUAUGGAAGAAAAGUUGAAAUCAAUGAAAGAUAAUGAAGUUUGGGAUCUUGUAGAAUUGCCCAAAGGAAUUAAAACUAUUGGUUGCAAAUGGAUUUUAAAAACCAAAUAUGAUUCUAAGGGCAACGUCGAAAGAUACAAGGCCAGGUUAGUUGCAAAAGGAUACACUCAAAAAGAAGGAAUCGCCUACAAGUAAACAUUUUCUCCUAUUUCCAAGAAAGAUUCUUUAAGAAUAGUCAUGGCUUUAGUAGCUCAUUUUGACUUAGAGUGACAUCAAAUAGACGUUAAAACUGCCUUUUUGAAUGGUGACUUGCAUGAAGAGGUUUAUAUGGAUUAACCUGAGGGUUUUCAGGAUAAAGGCAAGGAAUAUAUGGUAUGUAAACUUAAAAAGUCCAUAUAUGGUCUAAAGCAGGCUUCUAGACAAUGGUAUCUUAAGUUCCAUGAAAUUCUCAUCACUUUUGGUUUCAAAGAGAAUCUAGUGGAUCAAUGUAUAUACCUUAAGAUCAGUGGGAGCAAAAUUUGUAUUAUUGUUUUGUAUGUUGAUGGUAUGUUGCUUGCUAGCAACAAUAUGGGGAUGAUUUUUGAGACCAAACAAUUUUUAUCUAAGAAUUUUGAUAUGAAAGAUCUUGGUGAAGCAUCCUAUGUGAUAGGAAUUGAAAUUCAUCGAGAUAGGUCACGUGGAUUAUUAGGAUUAUCCCAAAAGAACUAUAUUGAAAAAGUUCUUAAAAGAUUCAACAUGCAAAAUUGUUCUAGCAAUGUUGCUCCUGUUGUGAAAGGGGACAUAUUUUGUGAACUUCAAUGUCCCAAAAAUGAUCUUGAAAAGAAACAAAUGGACAAAAUUCCUUAUGCUUCUGCAAUAGGGAGUAUCAUGUAUGCUUAAGUAUGCACUCGACCAAAGAUAGCUUAUGUGGUAGGCAUGCUUGGUCGAUACAUAAGUAAUCCAAGUAUUGAUAAUUGGAAAGCAGUUAAGAAAGUAUUGCGUUAUUUACAAGGGACUAAGGACUACAUGCUUACAUAUAAAAGAACAGAUAAUCUAAAGAUUAUUGGUUAUUCUAAUUCUGAUUAUGUUGGUUGUAAGGAUACCGGAAAAUCUACAUCUGGGUAUAUUUUUAUGUUAUCAAAUGGACCUAUUUUAUGGAAGAGCCAUAAGCAAUCAUUGAUAGCUUUUUCUACAAUGGAGGCAGAAUAUGUAGCAUGUUAUGAAGCCACAUGUCAUGUAAUAUGGUUGAGAAACUUUGUAUCAGGGCUUCAUGUUAUUGAUUCGAUAAUGAGACCAUUGAGAAUAUAUUGUGAUAAUAGUGUUAUUGUUCGAUUCUCUAAAAAUAAUAAGACUACAGGAGGAUCAAAGCACAUUGAUAUUAAGUAUUUGGUUAUAAGGGAGAAAGUUCAAAAUGGAGUUGUCUCUAUUGAACAUAUUGAAAAUACACUCAUGUUGGCAGAUCCAUUGGCAAAAGGUCUUCCACCUAAGCUUUUUAUGGAUUAUGUUGCGCACAUGGGCUUGGUGGUAAGUUUGUCAAUUUUAGAUUGAUUAAGAGUGUAAUGUAUGUGAUCACAUUAUAAUGAGAAUAAAGUUCUUGAUUAUGAUAUAUUGAUGAUUAUUAUGUUACUUUUAUACAUCAUUUUUGUGCACAAUCUAGAUGUUUAAAAGUUGAUGGGACCAUUAUGUGAAUGAAUUAGUAUUAUCACCUUAAUCUUUCUAAUGUCAUAAAAGUCAUUGAUUCAUGUUAAUGGAGGUGCUAGUACUAUAAUCCUUGAAGAAUAUUGGAUCAUUGUGUGAUCCAAUCAUUUCAAUGAUUUGGUGUUAGUGGUUCUAUGAAACAUAAUCUUAAUGUAAAGGAUGCCUAUUUUGAGAAAUUGUUAUGGUCAUAUUAUGUUUUAAUCUAUUACAAAUAUAAUUAUGUAGGCCAAGUGAGAGAUUGUUAGCUUUUUUCCUAUAAUGUGUGGUCAUAUAUAAUUAUAUUUGUAUAAAUAUUAUUUAAGGCUAUCAAUUGAUAGGUAGGUGAAUCAAUUGAUUGGGUAUCCAAGAGUCUUAUGUAGGGAAGACUCAAAUUACAAAUGGGGAGUUAGAAAAUUUACUUUAUAUGAAUGAGGUGUCACAACUUUUGUAACCCCAUUAUUAUGAAAUUCAUUUUGUACAUUAUGUUUGAGUACGUAAUGGAGGAAAAUGGAUAUGUAUAACUUAUGCAAUUAUAUAGAUGCAUUCAAGUUCAAAACCCACCAUUACCCAUUAAUUUGUACAUAAUGGGUGUAAAUAAUGAGUAUAACUCCCAUAUAGUCUUUGAUGGAAAGACUAAGAGAUGUACAACUUUUUAUAAAUUGAGGUCCCAAGCCACACUCUCAUUCUUAUGUCAUUUUUGUUGUUUAUUUUUAACAACAUACACCACACAAGUGACCCAUCCACUAUAUGAGAGUAGUGAGUUGAACACCUUGACAAUACAAUUCACAAGGUGACUCAAUCUCACUUUAUGGAUCAAGGUAAGAAUAUGAUCAUUAUUUUAGUAUUUACAUUUAUUUUGUUUUAUGCAUCCAAAUUUUUUUUUAAAAUAAUUAUUUCCGCAUAAAGUUUAUAAAAGUUUGGUUAACAAGAAGAGAAAAAUAAUUGUGUCUUACACAUCAUAUUUUGUAGGGCAAUCUAUCUGAAGUAGCAGUAGCAAUGAAGAGAUUGUCCAAGAAUUCAGCACAGGGUGUUCAAGAGUUCAAGAAUGAAGUUGUUUUGAUUGCGAAACUUCAGCACAAGAAUCUUGUUAGGCUUUUGGGCUGCUGCAUUCAAGGAGAAGAAAGAAUAUUACUCUAUGAUUAUAUGCCUAACAAAAGCUUGGAUUAUUUUAUUUUUGGUUUGACCUUCUUAUCCCUAUCUGUUAGGAUUAGUUUCACUUUUUGAUCACCUAUAUUAUGCUCAGUCGUGUUCAAUUCAAUUCACACAUCUAAGUAAUUAAUUAAGCCUAAUAAAAAAAUUUAUAAAGGCAGAUGUAUUGUGCAGAUCAAAACAAAAGAGCAUCAUUGGCAGGGGAUAAGCGCUGCAAGAUUAUUAUAGCGAUAGCACGAGGGCUUCUCUACCUCCAUCAAGACUCUAGAUUUCAAAUUAUUCACAGGGAUCUCAAGAUAAGCAAUAUUUUACUGGAUGACAAUCUCAAUCCUAAAAUUUCAAAUAAAGAAUUCUCUCUAACCUCCUCUCAACAUAUUGAACAUAAAUUCUAGUUGGUUAAGGCUGCGAAUCACAUACGAAAUACAAUGAAUGAUGAAAUUCAAUCAUCUGAUGACAAUUUUUAGGUAAGAUUUAUAACUUUCAUUUGUUUCUAUAAAGAAAUAUAUAUAUUUAUCAAAAAAUAAAAAUAAAAAUCGGCAACUUGGGUGGGGCUUUGGCGUCCUGGGAGGCAGUAACCACGACAGUGGUUAUGGUUUGGAGUAGGGAUGAAAGUCGGUGACCAUCAACAACGAUGGUUGGGCAAAAUUUUUGCUUAUAAUAAUUAUAAAAAUCAAAUUUUUUAUUAUUAUUUAUAAUAGUUAAUAAAUUACUUUUCGUUUAUAAUAGUUAGAAAAUUCUUCAUGACAUAAAUUUUUGCUUAUAAUAAUUAUAAAAUUCUAAUUCUUUUAUUUGUUUAUAAUAUUUACUAAAUUACUAAUUUUUUGUAAGAAAACAUUAUAGUAGCCACAUAAAUUAUUAAUUUAAACAAGAUUUGUUUUUGCCAAUUUUACUAAUUUAAAUGUUUUAAUUUCUUUUUUUGAAAAUUUUAACUAAUUGCUUCAUGUUUUAAUUUUUUAAAUGCUUUAACUUUGUCAUGUACAUUCUCAUAUAAUUUGUAUAAUGUUAUUGUCUUCAUGAUAUAAAUAGAAUUUUUUAUCUAUUUUGUAAGAUGAAUAUUUUGUGGAGGAAUUUCCAUCACAAUUGAUAGAUUAUGGCAAACAUUUCACUAUACAUAAAAGAUUCAAAGAUCGAGAAGAGUUUAUUAAAGAGGUUAAACAAAUUGGAGAACAACAAAAUAUAUUUGUGAUUAUUUGUCGUUCCACUAAAGCUGAUGGUUUAGGAAGUGGCAAAGUAUGGAUAGGCUGCGAGAUAUUCGAAGGCUAUAGACCGUAACAGAACAUAAAAACCGAUGUGGUGCCUAGAAAUCGAACUAGGACGAAGAAGUGUCAUUGUCCCUUUAUGUUGAAGGGUAUUGAACAUGAUGAUGGAGGACUUUAGUCAUCAUUAAUGGCAACCACAAUCACUACCUUGGAAAGUAUCCUCACGGUCAUUCAUCGGUUGGUAAAUUAAAGGAAAUAGAGUUCAAGAUAGUAGCUACAAUGACCAAAAGUCAUGUUAAGCCACAACUUAUCUUAAAUCACGUCAAACGGGAGAAUCCAAGCAACUUGAGUUGUGGGAAACAUGUCUACAAUGCCAAGCAAAACCUUAAAGAUCAGAAAAAGAAAGGUUGUUCAGUGAUGCAACAACUACUAAAAUUGCUAAUUGAUCAUGGUUAUAUCACCACUGGUAUAGAGAAGUGAUAAGGUUAAUUUUGAGGAAGAGAAGGUAGAAAAGAAGAAGAGGACGGAGAAGGAUUUUUGGAUUUUCUGCUAUGCUUUAUUGAUCAUAAUACCGACUAUUUAUAAUAGUCUUACAGCUGGGAAAUAACAAACAAUGCUAUAACUUAGGAAAGAACUAAGGCCAGUCCACCUGGUAAAACAAAUAAAACAACACAAUGAAGACUAGCUCCGACCAGCUUAUUAAGUGGAGACUAGUUAACAGACUACUGACUAAGUCUAGUAAGGCUCACGUAUCAUGCCUCCCCUCCCUCAAGGAUCCUUGUCCUCAAGGAUAAAAAUCUGGAUAGGACCUGUUGAAGCGUCAUUCGUUCUCCUAGGUUGCAUCUUCCCUUGGAGCUCCCUUCCACUUGAUUAAAACUUUAGACCUUGGACGGUAUUUCCCUUUUUGAAUAACUCGUCGAUCAAGUACAACUUCAGGUUGUGGUAGUAUAACCAAAUCUUCUGAAACUAGAGGAAGUUGAUUCUGAACUAGAGUAUGUACUGGACCCAAAUGUUUCCGCAACAUGCUAACAUGAAAUACACUGUGAAUUUGAGUUCCCGGAGGGAGAGCUAACCAAUAAGCCACUGGAUCUACUUUUCCCAUAAUCAGAUAAGGGCCAAAGAAACGUGGAGCAAGCUUCAUUGAAGCUCGAAAUGCCACAGAAGUUUGGCGAUAUGGUUGGAGCUUCAGAUAGACAUAAUCACCAAUAUCAAAAGAGACUUCUCAUCGUUUCUGAUAUUCUUGACAUUUCAUUCGCUGACUAGCUAGUGAAAGGUUGUGGCGUAGCACACUUAAGAUGGUGUCACGGUCACGAAGGUAUUCAUCAACUACUUGAAUGUGAGAAGUACCUAGAACAUAAGUUAGAAUGCUUGGUGGAGGAAUUCCAUAGACGGCUUCAAAUGGUGUCAUUUUGGUUGAGGAAUGGAUGAAAGUAUUAUAGCUAAACUCAGCCCAGGGAAUCCACUCGAGUCAUUUUCGCGGUUGAUCACCUGCAAAACAUCGCAAGUUUUGUUCCAAAGUGCGGUUUACUACCUCGGUCUGACCAUCAGUUUGUGGGUGGUAACUUGAGCUCAUGCGAAGCUUGGUUCCUUGUAGCUGGAAUAGUGUUUGCCAAAAAGAACUGAUAAACACUUUAUCUCGAUCACUCACUAUGGAUGUCAGAACACCAUGGAGGUGAACCACGUUGGCUAUAAAUGAUUUAGCAAUAGUGACUGCGGUAUAUGGAUGUCUUAAGGCAACAAAAUGAGCAUAUUUUGUUAAGCGAUCAACAAUUACCAUGAUGACUGUGUGUCCAUUUGACGGUGAUAAUCCUUCGAUAAAAUCCAUUGAUACUUCAGUCCACAUCUAGGUAGGAAUGGGUAAUUGUUGAAGUAAGCCAGCUAGUUUCAUGCAGUCGGUUUUGUACCUUUGACAUACACUGCAUUGUUGUAGAAACUCUUUCACUACUCGACGCAUUGCUAAGGCAUGCGAGAAAGUGUUUUAUGGAAUCCAAAAUGCCCCCUAGUUGGUGAUGAGUGGCAAUCUGCAAUUAUUUGGUGAAUUAAAACUGCAGUGGGACUCAAGUAGACUUUGUUGUUUUUGAACCAAACUUCAUCUCGAAGUGUUAGCUGGUAAGGAGAUUGUGUUUGGCUCAACUUCUUAUAAAAAUGAUCUUUUUGUACUUUCUCUUAUAAUUUUGGCCACCAAUCUGCACGUGGCAUAGAAAUGGAUAAGAACUGAAAUUCAACCACACAAGAAAGGAAGUCAACAGCUUGAUUUUCAGGCCCACGCUUGUACCCAAUUUCAUAGUCAUAUCCAAGGAUCUUUGGGAGCCACCGGGUUUGUGCUGGUGUGGUAAUUCGCUGCUCAAGUAAAUAUUUGAGGCUCCUUUGGUCGGUGCGCACCGUAAAUGGUUUGCCCAGAAGAUAUGGACGCCACUUUUGAAUUGACUUGACAAUUGCAACAUUUCUUUCUCAUAUGUAGAUAACAACAAGGCUGACAUCUUCAAAGCUUCACUAAAGUAAGCUAUGGGCCGAUUAUUUUGAGAAAGGACUGCUCCGAUUCCAAUCCCACUAGCGUCGCAUUCAAUUACGAAUAUUUGAGAAAAAUCUAGAAGGCCUAGGACUGGUGGAGAUGUGAGUGUUUUCUUUAGUCUUCGAAAAGCAAGUUCCGCUGCAUCGUUCCAUUUAAAUCCUUCUUUAGACAAGAGUUGCGUUAAUGGAGCCGCUAUACCUUCAAAAUGACGGAUAAAUUUGAGGUAAUACCCUGCUAGCCCGAGAAACCCAUGCACUCCUUUUGUUGUGGAAGGUGUUGGCCAUUCAAGAACAACUUGUAUUUUUGUUGGGUCUACUACCACUCCAUGUUCGGAAAUGAUGUGUCCCAAAUAGUCCACCUGAGAAACACCAAACCUGUAGUUGGUUGCCUUAGCAAACAAGUGAUUAGUUUUUAAAAUCUUAAGAAUGGUCCGGAGAUGUGAGAGAUGGUCAUCCCAUGUCUUUGAAUAAACUAGAAUGUCAUCAAAGAAUACCAAGAUAAAUUUUCUGAGAUACGUGCGGAAGAGGUCAUUCAUAAGGCUUUGGAAGGUGGAUGGUACAUUGGUAAGGCCAAACGACAUUACAAUGAACUCAUAGUGCCCUUCAUGUGUUCGAAAAACUGUUUUUGAAAUAUAUUCUUCAUAUACCCGAAUCUAAUGGUAUCCGGCCUUCAAAUCUAACUUGAAGAAGAAUUUGGCUCUGUGAAGUUCAUCAAGGAGUUCAUCAAUUACUGGAAUUGGAUAUUUAUCCUUGACUGUGAUGCAGUUCAGUGCUCGAUAGUCAACACAAAAUCGCCAAUCACCAUCCGCCUUCUUGACUAACAAGACAAGUGAUGAAAAUGGACUUUUACUAGGCCUUAUCAAUCCUGAUUGUAGUAGUUCUCGCACCAAUUUCUCAAUUUCUGUUUUCUGGUAGUAUGGGUAACGGCAGGGUCGCACACUCACUGGUUCAAUGUUUGGCUGUAAUGGGAUGCGGUGGUCAUGUGGUCUUUUUGGGGGUAAGCUGGUGGGUAGUUCAAAUACUUUAGAGAAUUCGGUUAAGAGAUGGGUUAUGUUAGGUGACAGAAGACUUGGUUGGGGUACAUUGGAAGAGAGUAAAAUUUGGAAGAGGAAUCCAGUACCUUGAAAAGAAUUAAAUUCUUUAUCAGAUAAGGCUUCUAGAGCAGCAUGCUUCAGACCUUGGAAGAUGCAGGAUUUUUCUCCAAUUUUAUAGGUCAUGGUCAGUUUUUUGUAGUCCAUCUCUAUUGGCCCAAGGGUCUCCAACCAUUGCACACCUAGGACCAAUUGGCAAGCUGAAACAGGAAGCACAUAAUAGUCAGCGGUGAUCGAUUUACCUUGGAUGGAAAUGGUGACAGUUGGACACAAUCCCACGCAUUCUAUUUUUUCUUAGUUGGCAACCAUGACUUGAAAUUUCUUUGCUGGAAUGAUGGGUAAUCCAUGCUUGGUGACUAUGGCCUGAUCAAUAAAAUUGUGGGUGCUCCCACCAUCUAUGAGCACAGUUACAUUUUUGUUUUUGAGUUUGCCUAAUACUUUUAAGGUGAUUGGUUCCAGCGAUUGCAUGAAAGGAGAUUUCAGGCAAGGUUUCUUGGUUAUCAGGUUCUAUUUGGGGUUGUUCAUCCUUGUCAACGUUUGAUUGAUCCAAAUCCUCCAUCAUGAAUAUUUGUGGACGUUCACAUCGAUUACCCGGAACAAACUUAUCAUCACAAUAGUAGCAUAGUCUUUUUUCACGACGCUCUCUCGCCUCUUGGUUAGUUAUUCGUCGGAAGGUGUUUGGGUUAACAUUUGCACUUUGACUUCCACGCUGAUUAGGAGGAGGGCUUAGGACUCCGGAAGUAGAGUUGGGACCUGCUCUUGAUGUUGAAAUCACUGGUUGAGGUCGACUUGGGUAAUUCAGUUUCCUCUGAAGUUGAUUUCCCUCUUCUAUCAGUCGAGCAACUCCUAUAGCGUACGCCAGCACCUUUGGUUGUUUAAUUUUUACAUCUAGGCGAAUGUAGUCUCGAAGACCUGUAAUAAAACAACCAACAAGGAAUGCCUCAGGUAAGCCAUCAACUUGAUGAGACAGUUUUUCAAAAGUUUCAUGAUAGGCUGCCACAGUCGAAGUCUGUCGGAGUCAUGUGAGAGCUUCAGAAGGGUCCUCAUAAUCAGUUGGUCCAAAGCGAAGAAGGACGACUUUGGUGACUUCAUCCUAAUCUUGUGGUCCACGGAAUUUCAUGAACCAUCAGUGCCACUGUAGAGCUAUGCCUUCUAAAUGGAAGGAGGCUAGCUGAACUCGUUGGUCCGUACUGAUGUUUUUAAAUUCAAAAUAUUGCCCUGCUUUGUAAAUCCACCCGAUUGGGUCUUCUCCAUUGAAUUUUGGGAAGUGUAGCUUGAGGUAGGGGUGAGGGUCGUUUGGGGUAUAGGGUUUCACAGUGCUUGAGGGAUGUGAUGUGUCUCCUUGGUAAAAGGGGUUAAUUUCAGGUGGGGUGGCUGGGGUAGUGUGAGAGACUCCCAAGACUUGUAAUUCGGUUAAUACUGAUUGCAGGGCAGCAUUGAUUUGAUCGAAACUGGACUCAUGUCGAGCCAAGGCUUCAUUCACAUCAUUGCGAAAUUCAGCAUUAGUUUUAUCACUAGUGUCCAUUGUCAGAACCUGGCUUUGAUAGCAAAUGAUAAGGUUAAUUUUGAGGAAGAGAAGGUAGAAGAGAAGAAGAUGAUGGAGAAGGAUUUCUGGAUUUUCUGCUAUGCUUUAUUGAUCAUAAUACCGACUAUUUAUAAUAGUCUUACAGUUGGGAAAUAACAACAUGCUGAAGACUAGCUUCGACUAGCUUAUUAAGUGGAGAAUAGUUAACAAACUACUGACUAAGUCUUACAAGGCUCACGUAUCAAGAAGAUGCAGAAACUAACACAGUGAGUGAUAUAUUAUUUGCUCAUCCAAAAUCUAUUCACUUAUUGAAUGUUUAUUCAUAUGUUUUGAUCAUGGAUAGUACUUACAAGACUAACCGAUACUUAAGCCUCUUAUGUACCUAAAGUUAUCAUGUUUACUACUAUAUUUCAAGCUUCAAGUUAGAUCUUUGAAUGCAAUUGACCAAAUUAGGACUAUAUAUCUUUCUUUUUUGGGGGAAUUGUUCAUCAAAGUAUAAUUUUUUUUCCUUUAGGCAUGGGACCAAUGGAAAAACAAUAGAGAACUGUAGUUGAUUGAUCCAGCACUAAAUGAGAUAUCUUCAAGACAUAUUCUGUUAAGGUACAUCAAUGUAGCCCUUCUUUGUGUUCAAGAAAGUACAAAUGAUAGGCCCACCAUGUCCGAUGUUGUCUCCAUGUUUGGCAAGGAAACUGUACUUUUAUCUUCUCCAAAUGAGCCGACCUUCUCAAAUCUAUCGAGUAUGAAACCACAUGCAUCUCAAGAUAGGCUUGAAAUUUGUUCCUGAAAUGAUGUAACACUUUCAAGCGUGGGAGCACGAUAAGUGUUCUAAAUUGCAGAUUGCAUAUGCUUAAAUGUCUUCAGCGUAUUGUCUAGUAUUAUAUCGGCCAUCAAGUUGAUUGUUGAUGUACUGAACGUGUGAACUUUUGUAUGUAUUUUUCUUUCAAUGCAGUUCAAUAAUGUGCUUACUUUUACUCAAUCCUCAAGGAUUCAGACCCGUAUCUCAUCUUCCCAUCUGUAAUUGCUACUGAAUCUGCUUUUAUACAUUGCUAAUCCAGAGUGUAAAAUACAACCCUCAGAGCUCACUUCAAAUAUUCAACUAGUACUAGGAAAGACGAGCUUUUGUGCAUGCUACAACUAAGCAUAAGUACUAAUUAACAUAUAGGCAAGAGGGAAAGUGAGGAAGUAAAGCAGUUGUAAAUUUUUUUGCCUUUUAAGCUGUGAUAUCAUCUAACAUUUUUUUAAGGGAAGAAAUAUUAUAAUUGAAGGUUUAUGUUGAGUACUUGUAAAACCUUCUUUUCUUAUUGGACAUGGUUUCAAUAAAAUCCAUUUGGUUGCCAAGAAAUCUGAGGGAGUUUAGGAUGUGAAUGAGGAAUUUGAAGUCUACCCUCGUCCCUAUAGCUUAAAAUGAAAAGGCAUAGUUACAAACUAAGCUUACAUCGUGGCAUAAACGUUUAUAUUCCUUAGUGGGGCUUGCAGUAGAGAUUGACCCGGAAGCCAACCAAAAAAGACAUGCAUCUAUGGUUCAAAUGAUUUUCUAAACUUAUUAAAUUGAUUUUCAAGAACUUGAUAAAUACCUCAUUUCUGUAAUAAGGUGAUUUCAAACGUUAGAAAACAGUGAAGGAAAAUGUGAAAUCACUCUACCACCAAGCAUAGAUGGACACUCAAGAAUAAAUAGUAGAGUUGGAUUUGAACACAAACCUCUUUUAAAGAAGAGAAUGUAAAGAUGAUUAUGAAAAAUUAGGUGUUGUUUGUUUUUUUAAUUUUUUUUUUAUAGAAAAAAUAUUUUGUUUUAGAUUUCAAAUAGUUUGUUUUUGUACAUUUUGUUAAUAUAUUACUUAUUUCUUAAAUUUUUUUAAUAUAAAAAAAGAUAUUUGACUUUUUCUGGAUGCUAAAAGUAAUUUAUAGGUUUUUUUUUUACUUCUUAAAUAUUUAAUAAAAAUAAAAUAUUUUAAAAAACAACUUCAUAGUUAACGUUAUUAAAUACUAUUUAGUUUUAAAUUCAAAUUAAAAUUAAGAUCUUCACCAUGCAUCUUAAAAUUGAAAAUAUAUAUAUAUAUAUAUAUAUAUAUAUAUAUAUAUAUAUAUAUAUAUAUAACCGGCCCUCACUUUCCUUGAUAUUUCAUUUUGUCUCUCUUCUUUCUCUUUACAUUCAUCAUUGCAGCUGUCGUGGAAGAUAUCCAACUCAUAGAGUUAAUCAAACAUAAAAAAAAAAAAAAAUCCUUUUUUUUUCUUUGAUUUGUUUAUAGAUGAUUUUCUACUUUUAUUUUUAUGGUUAUUGGUUUCUUCGGUCAUGAUUUUUUAUGAUAUAUAAAUCCAUUUUAAAUUUGUUGUUAGAUGGAUUAAUUUUUAAUUUUUAAUCUUAUUUAGACAAUUUAUCUUUAAAUAAUAGAAUUGGCUGUUAGAAUUCUUAUCAUUUUUAUUAAAUUAUAAUUCUAAUUCAAUAAAAUAAAUAUGGUCAAAAAAUUGAAAUUGACCGGAUGCUACUUUAUUAUAAUUGGAGAGGUAUGACACGGAAGAGUUCAUUUAUCAUUUUUCAAAGGGAGAAUUAGCAAAGAUGGUGGGCUCCAUACAACUAAGGUUUGACCCGUUUGUUCAUUUAUCAUUUUUCAAAAGGAGAAUUACCAAAGAUGGUGGGCUCUGAUUGAUAAUGAGUCAUCAACUUGAUAAUCUUUCAUAUGCUUCAAAAUAUAAAAACUCAAACAUACCCUUAUGUCUUUUAUUUUAAAGUCAAACAUAUCCUUACUUGGCCUUUUCCCUAUUUUGUCUUUUCUUCAUUUUAUUUUAUUUUUUAAUUAUUAUUUUUAAAAUAUGAAUAAUAAUCAUAAAAAUAAAUAAUAUUAGUAAGAAUGAUAUUAAUAAAUAACAUGAAUAAUUCAAAAUAUUAAUAUUAUAAAUAAUAAUAUUAACACUAAUAAUAAUAAUGUGUAAAGAAGUAUAAAAGAAAAACAAUAAAAAAAGGUAAAAUUAAAUGAGAAUAAUAGGAAAAAAAAAGGUACAAUUAGAAUUCUAAAAUGAUCAACUUUUCAAAGGUCUUGAUAGGAAUUUAUAAACAUGGUGACCCUUUUGGGUCAUUAUCACGGGUAGCUCACCCUAAAUGAGAAUUCUCCUUUUUUUAAAUUCACGUUGACCUUUUCACUAGAUAAAAUUUAAUAAUUGAAAGAAUACCACAUGCAUUUUUUGUAUGGAAGGAGGUCCCUUAGGAUACAACAUUGUCUAAAAUCAUUUAUAUAACUACUAUUUUUUUUUUUCAAAUAUCUUAUUUAAAAAAAGGAAAAUAUCAAAAAUCCCCCAUUAGGUCAACAUUACUUAUUUGUAUGCUGGCUGGCCAUAAGAUUAUUGAUGGGCUGCUUAAACGCUGCUUAUGAGUAAUGGGUAACAUGAAAAUUUCAACCAGAAGGUGGUCUGCUAAUCUCGUUUUCUUGCUUAUUUCUUCAGGUUUUCACUUGCAAUUUGUUGAUGCCUUUACAGAUACAAUCUUACAAGGUCAAUCACUCACAAC